ensembl:snRNA U6 U6 spliceosomal RNA
GUGCUCUCUUUGGCAGCACAUAUGCUAAAACUGAAAUGAUACAGAGAAGAUUAGCAUGGCCCCUGCACAAGGAUGAUAGGCAAAUUCAUGAACUGUUCCAUAGUAAA